GCUUACGGCCAUACCUCUCUGGUUCCGCCCGAUCUCGUCUGAUCUCGGAAGCUAAGCAGAGCAGGGCCUGGUUAGUACCUGGAUGGAAGACCGCCUGGGAAUCCCAGGUGCCGUAAGCU
rnacentral:rRNA from 1 species